rnacentral:rRNA from 1 species
CUACGAGUGGCUGCAGUGAGGAAUAUUGCACAAUGGGGGGAACCCUGAUGCAGCAACGCCGCGUGGAGGAUGACGCAUUUCGGUGUGUAAACUCCUUUUAUAUGUCAAGAAAAUGACGGUAGCAUAUGAAUAAGCACCGGCUAACUCCGUGCCAGCAGCCGCGGUAAUACGGAAGGUGUAAACGUUACUCGGAAUCACUGGGCGUAAAGGACGCGUAGGCGGGUUGGAAAGUCAGGUGUGAAAUCCUACAGCUUAACUGUAGAACUGCGCUUGAAACUUCUAAUCUAGAGUAUGGGAGGGGGAGAUGGAAUUAGUGGUGUAGGGGUAAAAUCCGUAGAUAUCACUAGGAAUACCUAAAGCGAAGGCGAUCUCCUGGAACAUUACUGACGCUAAGGCGUGAAAGCGUGGGGAGCAAACAGGAUUAGAUACCCCCGUAGUC